rnacentral:rRNA from 1 species
UGGGGGAAUAUUGCACAAUGGGGGGAAACCCUGAUGCAGCAACGCCGCGUGAUUGAUGAAGGUUUUCGGAUGGUAAAGCUCUGUCUUUGGGGGGAGUAUAAUGACGGUACCCAAGGAGGAAGCCACGGCUAACUACGUGCCAGGCAGCCGCGGUAAUACGUAGGUGGCGAGCGUUAUCCGGAUUUACUGGGCGUAAAGGGAGCGUAGGCGGAUGAUUAAGUGGGAUGUGAAAUACCCGGGCUCAACUUGGGUGCUGCAUUCCAAACUGGUUAUCUAGAGUGCAGGAGAGGAGAGUGGAAUUCCUAGUGUAGCGGUGAAAUGCGUAGAGAUUAGGAAGAUCAUCCAGUGGCGAAGGCGACUCUCUGGACUGUAACUGACGCUGAGGCUCGAAAGCGUGGGGAGCAUUUCUUG